AGGAAGUCGCUGCUUCCGAAGCUUAUGACAUCACCAACUUCCAUGUGGACUGCAGAAGAGUUCAGAGAGCAUCACAGAAGAUCCAGGUGGCCUGGACUGUGAAAAGAUUCAAGAAAUACGCAGCAAGGACAAGAUCAAAGAGAAGCAGCAACAGAGAAAGCUACUUAAAAGUUUCAGUUCAAGAUGUGACCAUUUUGCUACUACAUCUGUCCCCACCAUGAAGUGCCAACAUAUGCUUCCCUAGCCAAACUCGAAAACUGUCAAGCAUAUAAAUACUGCCUCUUUA